CUACUGUCUGUUUACUGUCGCUCCCCUCUUCGUUACUACUGUCUGUUUACUGUCACUCCUCUCUUUGUUACUACUGUCUCUCCUCUCCGUUACUACUGUCUGUCUACUGUCGCUCCCCUCUCCGUUACUACUGUCUGUCUACUGUCGCUCCCCUCUCCGUUACUACUGUCUCCUCUCUCUGUUACUGUCUAUCUACUGUCGCUCCCCUCUUCGUUACUACUGUCUGUUUACUGUCGCUCCCCUCUCCAUUACUACCGUUUGUCUGUCGCUCCCCUCUCCGUUACUACUGUCUCUCCUCUCCGUUACUACUGUCUGUUUACUGUCGCUCCCCUCUCCAUUACUACUGUCUCUCCUCUCCGUUACUACUGUCUGUUUACUGUCGCUCCCCUCUCCAUUACUACUGUCUCUCCUCUCCGUUACUACCGUCUGUCUACUGUCUCUCCUCUCUCGUUACUACCGUCUGUCUACUGUCUCCUCUCCGUUACUAUCGUCUGUCUGUCUCUCCUCUCCGUUACUACUGUCUCUCCUCUCCGUGACUACUGUCUGUUUACUGUCGCUCCUGUCUUCGUUACUACUGUCUCUCCUCUCCGUUACUACUGUCUGUCUACUGUCGCUCCCCUCUCCAUUACUACCGUUUGUUUACUGUCGCUCCCCUCUUCGUUACUACUGUCUGUCUACUGUCGCUCCUCUCUUCGUUACUACUGUCUGUUUACUGUCGCUCCCCUCUCCAUUACUACCGUUUGUUUACUGUCGCUCCCCUCUCCGUUACUACUGUCUGUCUACUGUCGCUCCCCUCUCCGUUACUACUGUCUCUCCUCUCCGUUACUACUGUCUGUUUACUGUCGCUCCCCUCUCCAUUACUACUGUCUCUCCUCUCCGUUACUACUGUCUGUCUACUGUCGCUCCUCUCUCUGUUACUACUGUCUCUCCUCUCCGUUACUACUGUCUGUCUACUGUCGCUCCCCUCUCCGUUACUACUGUCUCUCCUCUCCGUUACUACUGUCUGUCUACUGUCGCUCCCCUCUCCGUUACUACUGUCUCUCCUCUCUCUGUUACUACUGUCUCUCCUCUCCAUUACUACUGUCUGUUUACUGUCGCUCCCCUCUCCGUUACUACUGUCUCUCCUCUCCGUUACUACUGUCUGUUUACUGUCGCUCCCCUCUCCAUUACUACUGUCUGUCUACUGUCGCUCCCCUCUCCGUUACUACUGUCUCUCCUCUCCGUUACUACUGUCUGUUUACUGUCGCUCCCCUCUCCGUUACUACUGUCUCUCCUCCGUUACUACUGUCUGUUUACUGUCGCUCCCCUCUCCGUUACUACUGUCUCUCCUCUCCGUUACUACCGUCUGUCUACUGUCUCUCCUCUCUGUUACUACCGUCUGUCUACUGUCUCUCCUCUCCGUUACAACAGUCUGUCUACUGUCUCUCCUCUCCGUUACUAUCGUCUGUCUACUGUCUCUCCUCUCCGUUACUACCGUCUGUCUACUGUCUCUCCUCUCCGUUACUACCGUCUGUCUACUGUCUCUCCUCUCCGUUAAUACUGUCUGUCUACUGUCUCUCCUCUCCGUUACUACUGUCUGUCUACUGUCUCUCCUCUCCGUUAAUACUGUCUGUCUACUGUCUCUCCUCUCCGUUAAUACUGUCUGUCUACUGUCUCUCUCCUCUCCGUUACUACCGUCUGUCUACUGUCUCUCCUCUCCGUUACUACCGUCUGUCUACUGUCUCUCCUCUCCGUUACUAUCGUCUGUCUACUGUCUCUCCUCUCCGUUACUAUCGUCUGUCUACUGUCUCCUCUCCGUUACUACUGUCUCUCCUCUCCGUUACUACUGUCUCUCCUCUCCGUUACUACUGUCUGUCUACUGUCGCUCCUCUCUAUUCCGUCUGUCUACUGUCUCUCCUCUCCAUUACUACCGUUUGUUUACUGUUGCUCCCCUCUUCGUUACUACUGUCUGUUUACUGUCGCUCCCCUCUCCAUUACUACCGUCUGUUUACUGUGCUCCCCUCUCCAUUACUACCGUUUGUUUACUGUCCUCCCCUCUCCAUUACUACCGUUUGUUUACUGUCGCUCCCCUCUCCAUUACUACUGUCUGUCUACUGUCUCUCCUCUCCGGUAAUACUGUCUGUCUACUGUCUCUCCUCUCCGUUACUACUGUCUGUCUACUGUCUCUCCUCUCCGGUACUACCGUCUGUCUACUGUGUCUCUCCUCUCCGUUACUACCGUCUGUCUACUGUCUCUCCUCUCCGUUACUACCGUCUGUCUACUGUCUCCUCUCCGUUACUAUCGUCUGUCUGUCUCUCCUCUCCGUUACUACUGUCUCUCCUCUCCGUGACUACUGUCUGUUUACUGUCUCUCUCCUCUCCGUUACUAUCGUCUGUCUACUGUCUCUCCUCUCCGUUAAUACCGUCUGUCUACUGUCUCUCCUCUCCGUUAAUACCGUCUGUCUACUGUCUCUCCUCUCCGUUAAUACCGUCUGUCUACUGUCUCUCCUCUCCGUUACUACCGUCUGUCUACUGUCUCUCCUCUCCGUUAAUACUGUCUGUCUACUGUCUCACCUCUCCGGUAAUACUGUCUGUCUACUGUCUCCUCUCCGGUAAUACUGUCUGUCUACUGUCUCUCCUCUCCAUUACUACUGUCUGUCUCUCCUCUCCGGUAAUACCGUCUGUCUACUGUCUCCCCUCUCCGUUACUACCGUCUGUCUACUGUCUCCUCUCCGUUACUAUCGUCUGUCUGUCUCUCCACUCCGUUACUACUGUCUCUCCUCUCCGUGACUACUGUCUGUUUACUGUCGCUCCUGUCUUCGUUACUACUGUCUCUCCUCUCCGUUACUACUGUCUGUCUACUGUCGCUCCCCUCUCCAUUACUACCGUUUGUUUACUGUCGCUCCCCUCUUCGUUACUACUGUCUGUCUACUGUCGCUCCUCUCUUCGUUACUACUGUCUGUUUACUGUCGCUCCCCUCUCCAUUACUACCGUUUGUUUACUGUCGCUCCCCUCUCCGUUACUACUGUCUGUCUACUGUCGCUCCCCUCUCCGUUACUACUGUCUCUCCUCUCCGUUACUACUGUCUGUUUACUGUCGCUCCCCUCUCCAUUACUACUGUCUCUCCUCUCCGUUACUACUGUCUGUCUACUGUCGCUCCUCUCUCUGUUACUACUGUCUCUCCUCUCCGUUACUACUGUCUGUCUACUGUCGCUCCCCUCUCCGUUACUACUGUCUCUCCUCUCCGUUACUACUGUCUGUCUACUGUCACUCCCCUCUCCGUUACUACUGUCUGUUUACUGUCGCUCCCCUCUCCGUUACUACUGUCUCUCCUCUCCGUUACUAUCGUCUGUCUACUGUCUCUCCUCUCCGUUACUACCGUCUGUCUACUGUCUCUCCUCUCCGUUAA
rnacentral:lncRNA from 8 species